GGUUAAGCGACUAAGCGUACACGGUGGAUGCCCUGGCAGUCAGAGGCGAUGAAGGGCGUGCUAAUCUGCGAUAAGCGCCGGUAAGGUGAUAUGAACCGUUAUAACCGGCGAUACCCGAAUGGGGAAACCCAGUGUGACUCGUCACACUAUCAUUAACUGAAUCCAUAGGUUAAUGAGGCGAACCGGGGGAACUGAAACAUCUAAGUACCCCGAGGAAAAGAAAUCAACCGAGAUUCCCCCAGUAGCGGCGAGCGAACGGGGAGGAGCCCAGAGCCUGAAUCAGCAUGUGUGUUAGUGGA
rnacentral:rRNA from 1 species